AACGCGAAGAACCUUACCAGGCCUUGACAUGCAGAGAACUUUCCAGAGAUGGAUUGGUGCCUUCGGGAACUCUGACACAGGUGCUGCAUGGCUGUCGUCAGCUCGUGUCGUGAGAUGUUGGGUUAAGUCCCGUAACGAGCGCAACCCUUGCCUUUAGUUGCCAGCAGUUCGGCUGGGCACUCUAAAGGGACUGCCGGUGUUAAACCGGAGGAAGGUGGGGGAUGACGUCAAGUCCUCAUGGCCUUUAUGACCAGGGCUACACACGUACUACAAUGGCCGAUACAAAGGGCAGCGACACUGCGAGGUGAAGCCAAUCCCGUAAAAUCGGUCUCAGUCCGGAUUGGAGUCUGCAACUCGACUCCAUGAAGUUGGAAUCGCUAGUAAUCGUGGAUCAGCAUGCCACGGUGAAUACGUUCCCGGGCCUU
rnacentral:rRNA from 1 species